GAAAAAGUAGCCAGCCCACCAUCCCUAGAUGAUUUUGCAGUCUUUGCACACCAGUGUGGCCAUAGGCUUGUUUUCUCCUGGACUGAGCCUGCAGAUCCUAUGAGCAAGCAUAUGUCCUGUGCUCCACUAGUCCUAGCUGGAUCGUGGACAUAUUACCAUCAUUACAAAUAUCAAUAGUUUGUGAUUACUUCAAACAAUCUGAAGUUGAAGGACCCCAGAUAUCCUUCAAAACAGGAAUCUGCAGGCAGAUGCUGAAACCAUGAAUACAGAGGGACAACUAUGUAAGCUCGUUAACGCUGACAUAGUUUUAUGAAUGCAAACAGCCAAGGAGAGCAGAUGUUGAGUGGUUGCCAGAGUGAAAUGAGGAAGCCCUGCUGCCAGCUUCCCACCAAAAAGCAGGCUCCGGCCCUGAACGCAGGAGAGUUGCUAAAGAAGUUGCUCACAGAGGCGGGAGAGAGCAGGCUACUGGUUUCCUUCAAAAUGGAAUAGGAAACAGAAAACGUGCAUCAUUUCUUCGCACUUGAAUCAGC
rnacentral:lncRNA from 1 species